AUACUAACCUGUAAGAGGAAUAUCAUGAUUAUGAAAGUGGUUUUUCCAGGGCAAGGCUUGUCCAUUGCACUCUGGAUGUGCUAACCCCUGCGAUUUCCCAAAAUGCUGGAAACUCGACUGCAUAAUUUGUGGUAGUGGGUGAUUGCAUUCAUACUCUCCCCUG